rnacentral:misc_RNA from 1 species
ACAUGUUUCCUGAUGCUGUUGAAGUUCAAGCUUUGGUAAGGAGCAAGGGCCUGUUCUCUUUCUAUGAGGAUGGGCACCAGGAGUGCUGCCGUGUGAGAAAGGUGAGGCCCUUGAGGAGGGCUCUCAAGGGGCUACGUGCUUGGAUCACUGGCCAAAGAAAAGAUCAGUCCCCAGGCACUCGGUCUGAAAUUCCUGUUGUUCAGGUGGACCCAGUUUUUGAGGGAAUGGAU